CGGUUUUUCUCUCGGAACUGAGAAAGAAGACAUUAUCUUCCACUUGUUCCGAAUCUUUUGGUAGGUUUUUCUACUUCAAACCCUCAGUCUUUCGGUUGAGAAUACCCUAUCUCCCAUGAACAAUUCCAUUAUCACCCAUUUGGUUUCUCUCUUAGAAAUGAGAAAGAAGACCAUAUUUCCUACGUCUUUAUACUCUGUUUCAUUUGAGAAUGAACUCUCCCACAAAGUCUCCCACCAUUUCUCUCAUGACUGGGGAUUACAGUUAUCUGGAAAUCUAUAUAAAUGGGGUUUGUGCUUCCCUUGGAGUAUGCACAAUUCCAAUAGAGCAACCAGAGGACUCAUUUGUGAAAGAGGAAAGCAACGGAGGACUGAAUAUUCGACUAGAAGAGCAAUAGAAGGAAAGGAACUCAACCAAAUAAAAAGAGGAAUUUUUGAAGCAAGAGGGUUAGUGGUCGUUUGAGUUUUGUUAUCAACAGCAAUUGUGGCAAUUUCAUUUGGAGGAAGAUAAGGGAUCUGCAACACAAAAACGAUUUAUUAAUAAGAAGAAAGCAUGGUUACAACUAGAGGUUGUGAAAAAAAAUGAACACGGCCUUAGAAAAGCUGAUCCAACCCAAUAAUUACAAUUGAGCCCAAUAUAGAUGAGUACUUUGUACUCCUUGCUUUGCUAGACCAUCUGCUAAGUUGUUGGCAGUUCUCCUCACCCAUUUAACUUGGAUUGUCAUGUCCUUUGAUAGUCAUUUGAAUCGCUUGAAUUCAUUCCUCAAAUGCCAUGACACCCCUCAAUGAUUGGUCUAUCAAUAUCCAACUCUUUUGCCUUCUCGACUCCAUAUACUGCAGCUAAUUGUUUUGAUCUUGCCACAUCACCUUGUUCAGCAGGUCCUGAGUAUAAAGCUAUGAUGUUUCCUUCUUCAUCCCUAAUGACCCAAUAAACCUUAUCCGCAUUCAUUUUGGUGAAAUAAACCCAAUAAACCUUAUCCCAUUCCUUUCUUUAUUCUUCCCCUUGAUUCUUCCAACCGCAAUGUCUCUGUAAUGGUCCAAAAGUGCAUCGACUUAUUCCCCUUCCUUUGAUUGUUCCAAUCUCAACGUCUUUCAAGUGGUACAAAAAUGCACCAGUGCGUUCUUAAAGGACUCAACACUCUAAUUAAUCAAAAAUAAUUUUUUCUACGUGUGUAUUGAAAUUUUUUCUACAAUUUAUUUUUAAUCUUUUCAUACUUUAAUCAUGAUCAUGACAACAUCCCACGUGCAACGCACAUGCCCUCUUACUAGUACAAUUAAAAGAAGGGACAAGAUAAAUGGGAUAUGAGAAAAUUUAGAGAAAGCAAUAUAGAUAUGGUGAGAGAAAGAAAAAAGAAAAAUUAGAGAAAACACUCAUAAAAAGGCAAAAUCGAAUUGUAAAUCAUGUAUUCAAUAAUAUAAUUUCACAUUCUUGCAAAUUUUCAUAAAUUACUUUCCUGAUGACCGUGGUUAGAACUAGGGUUGUUCACAAAUAAAUUCAAACCGACCAACUCGGCCUGACCCAACCUGAUUUGACCUGUUUUUCUUCACCACUAGUCGGUUUCUGGUUGGAAAGAUGGAUAAACUGAUAAUUCGGUUCGGUUUGUGAAAACCGAAACUGAACUAAACCGAACCAAGUUAUCUAUAAAUCUGAAAUAUAUAUUUCGGAAAUGUAUAAAUUUAAACCAAAACCGACCCAAACCGACCAGGUUGGUUUUGCUUAAUAGAGGGUCGGUUUCGAUUUAAUCUUAAACGAAAAUUGAAGAAUGAUUAUCGCCAGUUGACUCCAUGCCAUCGUAGCUCAGUUGUGUAAUGAAAUUGCCGACGAUCUCUUGCUCUAUGGCUAGGGAUCUGAUGAAAAAUGGUGGGAAGGGGAAUUCGAAUGAGUGAGAGUAAAAAAAGAUAGUUUUAGUUGGUUUUGUCUUUUUCUAACCGGGUGAGUCGAAUUCACCCACUUAACGAGAGGAUAACAUUAACAAGAGCUAUAGAUUUGAAUAGGGCGAUGUGCACACCUCUUAUUAAGGUCUUGUUCAUUUUUCAAAAUGUCACUUACCCAAGUAAA